UUUAAAUAGCUGCAGUAUUUUAACUGUACAAAGGUAGCGUAGUAAUUAGUCUUUUAAUUGGGGUCUAGAAUGAAGGGUUUAACAAGAAAAAUACUUUAUUAGGUUAAUAAAAUGAAUUUUAUUUUUUAGUUAAAAAGCUAAAAUGUAUAAAUGGGACGAUAAGACCCUAUAGAUCUUAAAAUUUUUUCUUAAAUUAAUUGUUUAGGGGGAUUUCGGUUUCUUUAAGAAAAAUUUUUUGUUGGGGUGACAUUCAAAAACUUAAGACUUUGAAAGUUUCCUAUACUAAUAAGUAAUUUUUUGAACCCAAAUUUUGGGUUAUUAAAAUUAGAUACCUUAGGGAUAACAGCGUAAUAAAUUUGUAUAGUUCUUAUAGAUAAAUUUGUUUACGACCUCGAUGUUGAAUUAAUUUAAAAUUUCGGAGCAGAAGAUGGAAUUUUGGGUCUGUUCGACCCUUAAAAGGUUACA
rnacentral:rRNA from 1 species